rnacentral:rRNA from 1 species
AUAUCAAUAAGCGGAGGAAAAGAAACUAACAAGGAUUCCCCUAGUAACGGCGAGUGAAGCGGGAACAGCUCAAAUUUGAAAUCUCACAGGGUUACCUGUGCGAAUUGUAGUUUAUAGAAACGCUUUCGGGGGUGGCUCUGGCAUAAGUCCUUUGGAAUAAGGCAUCAUAGAGGGUGAGAAUCCCGUUUAUGGUCAGGUGUCCGCUCCUAUGUGAUGUGUUUUCUAAGAGUCGGUUUGUUUGGGAAUGCAGACCAAAAUGGGUGGUAAAUACCAUCUAAAGCUAAAUAUUGGCGAGAGACCGAUAGCGAACAAGUACCGUGAGGGAAAGAUGAAAAGAACUUUGAAAAGAGAGUUAAAAGUACGUGAAAUUGUCAAAAGGGAAACGCUUGAAACCAGUAUUGCGUUCAGGUAAUCAGCCGUUCCUUUUGGGAUGGUGCACUUGCCUGUUUGCGGGUCAACAUCAGUUUGGUUCGGGAUAAAAAGCCUUGAGAAGGUAGCCCCUCGGGGUGUUAUAGCUCAAGGUCAUGUCUCGGGCUGGACUGAGGUCUGCAGUGUUAUUUGGGUAGCCAGUCGCCUCUUGAAACCCUGUUAUAGACAGCAUGCUGACUAUGACUUGGUCUAGGGAGCACGGUUGGGAUUCCACACCAACACUUAGGAUGUUGACGAAAUGGUUUCAAACGA